CACAUGAGCGGGCUUGUGGGUCAGUACAAACUCGUCAGCUAACACAGCAGCCUGGGACAGUGACAUCACUUUUUGCUCAUUCAAGUAUGUUACUAUUCGUUCGGAUAUACUAUUCUUAAAUUCCUCCAGCAGGACUAAUUCUCGAAGAAAGGAAAAUCUGUAGUUUUAGUGGCGGUGCACCACCGAUCAAACAAGGUGGCCUUCUCUCGAGCAAACUCCACAACCACACAGGUUACAACACUCUCGUUGAGCAUACACAAAAGUGUUGAAGACCUCUAUUGCGUCUGUGCCGGCGACGGUGAGCAGCAUGGCUAUUUUUCUUUCAUCUGCCAGUCGAUCCACUCCGACAGCUGCAAUAUACAGCAGAAACUUCUGUUUGAAAGCCCUCCAACUUGCAUCUACGUUUCCAGUCAACUUUAGCGGACUUGGUGGUUUCAUUGCAUCCAUAAUGUUGUGUUGCUUCUUAUUCUUGACCCUACUCCUGGUACCAUGUAAUGUUCUUAUUCAUCUAUAAAUAAAACAUCAUGAAUAGAA